rnacentral:misc_RNA from 1 species
UCCUGACAUCUUUAGCUUUUUAGCUUUAUCAGCAUAACAUAUGAAGAUACUUAUGUAGAUCAAUUGAAAAAUUGCCCCAAUUGAAUUGACUGUUGCAACUAAUAUGACACCAGGUGAUACGAUGGGCAUGCCAUACCAGAGGCAGAUCAAGCAGUUCAAGAAGGCAUAUACAUAAGGCAAUCCUGAGAACUGUUCUGUUGAUUGGCUUCUGAUAAUU